rnacentral:rRNA from 1 species
CCCUUAGAUGUUCUGGGCUGCACGCGCGCUACACUGUCGGAUUCAGCGAGUCAUAUCCUUAACCGAAAGGUUUGGGUAAUCUUUUGAAAGUCCGACGUGAUGGGGAUUGGUCGUUGCAAUUAUUGAUCAUGAACGAGGAAUUCCUAGUAAGCGCGAGUCAUCAGCUCGCGUUGAUUACGUCCCUGCCCUUUGUACACACCGCCCGUCGCUACUACCGAUUGAAUGGUUUAGUGAGAUCUUCGGAUUGGCGCCUACGCGGCUUCUCUGAGGCCACGCUGGAUGCCGAAAAGUUGCUCAAACUGUAUCAUUUAGAGGAAGUAAAAGUCGUAACA